rnacentral:rRNA from 1 species
UACAGAGGUCCCAAGCGUUGUUCGGAUUCAUUGGGCGUAAAGGGUGCGUAGGCGGAUCGUUAAGUCAGGGGUGAAAUCCUGGAGCUCAACUCCAGAACUGCCUUUGAUACUGGCGAUCUUGAGUUCGGGAGAGGUGAGUGGAACUGCGAGUGUAGAGGUGAAAUUCGUAGAUAUUCGCAAGAACACCAGUGGCGAAGGCGGCUCACUGGCCCGAUACUGACGCUGAGGUGCGAAAGCGUGGGGAGCAAACAGGG